GCAUUGCAAUACUAGAUUUGCUUUAGUCUUCCAAAACCUCUUACAAGUAUUUAACGUGUCGAUACUUUCUACCACCACAUAUUUUUAAGCGACCAACAAUCUCAAACUUUCAAUGUGAAUAUUUGUGGCUGCAUUUUGAUCUCUAUCGUCCGUAACGCCACUCUCACACAACCACGUUCAUUUACUUUUUGAGUACCCUACAGAGUGCAACUUCGUAAGUUAAUGCAUUGAAAUGAGGUUAGCUCUAGGCUUAUACCAAUUCCA
rnacentral:misc_RNA from 1 species